GAUGAAGAACGUAGCGAAAUGCGAUACGUAAUGUGAAUUGCAGAAUUCAGUGAAUCAUCGAGUCUUUGAACGCACAUUGCGCCCCCUGGUAUUCCGGGGGGCAUGCCUGUCCGAGCGUCAUUGCUGCCCUCAAGCACGGCUUGUGUGUUGGGCCUCCGUCCUCCUCCCGGGGGACGGGCCCGAUAGGCAGCGGCGGCACCGCGUCCGGUCCUCGAGCGUAUGGGGCUUCGUCACCCGCUCUUGUAGGCCCGGCCGGCGCUUGCCGACACAUCAAUCUUUUUUCCAGGUUGACCUCGGAUCAGGUAGGGAUACCCGCUGAACUUAAGCAUAUCAAUAAGCGGAGGA
rnacentral:misc_RNA from 1 species